rnacentral:lncRNA from 1 species
AAUGAUUGAAUUUUAAGUUAAAAGUUAGUAAAAGGUUGAUUUGUAAAAUAAAACAUAAGUUUUGAAUUGAUAGGAAUUAAAUUGAAAGAAUCCCGAAAUUAGGGAUUUAUGGGGAAAUUGAAGAAUUAAACUGAGUUUAUAGUAAGAAUUAAGAGAGAAUAUAGAGUUAGAAUGCAAAAAUAAAAUUAGUAUUGAUAAGGGAUUAAAUUAGAAUUUGAUGUUGCCAUAGAAGGGAAAAAUGUUCAGAAUGUUAUAAAACAUAAGAAUAAGAGAUGAAGUUUAAUUUCCGAGCCUUGGGACAAAAAUGUAAUUAUGUAAAAGUUUAGGGGCAAAAUUGUAAUUUUGAAAAAGUUAGAGUCGAGGGCUAUUUUGAUGAAUGUGAUUAUUAAAUAAGUUAAAUUUACUAUUUUAGAUCAAGAAGUACGAAACUCGAGGUUAGACAAAGGGAAGAAUAAAGUUGAAGACUAAGUUGGUGAAUUUGGCUAUAAUUGGUACCGAGGUAAGUUUACGGUAAAUAAAUGCAAUAUUUCAAUAUUUAUUAUUAAUGCUGUUAAUUUCCAGCAAUUAUGAAUUUAUUUUAUGAAUUUAUUUGAUGAUGAUCCAAGCAUGAAAUGAUAGAGAAUUAAAAUUUAAAAGUCCCGUUGAUACAUAAGGAUGAUACUGAAUACGAAUGUCAUGACAUUUGGGUAAAGAGAUCCCAUGUAAGACCAUGUCUGGGACAUGGCAUUGGCAUCCUUAAGAUCAUGAGAGGUCCCCUGUAAGACCAUGUCUGGGACAUGGCAUGGGCACCGAGACGAGAGGUCCCAUGUAAGACCAUGUCUGGGACAUGGCGUUGGCACCGAGAUGAGAGGUCCCCUAUAAGACCAUGUCUGGGACAUGGCAUGGGCACCAUCACGAGAACAUCCCAUGUAAGACCAUGUCUGGGACAUGGCUUUGGCAUGUUAUUAUCAGAAGAGACCCGAGUAUCCUUAUUAUUCCAAUGUAGUUCAACGGGCUUGUAAACGAAUCAUGUUCAUGAAAGUUCAGUUUAAAGCAUAAAUGGCAAGCUCAGGUAAGUUGUAAGACUUAAGAACUUAUUAUACUAUCAAUUGAUGUUCAACGAUGCAGCAAGGAUUGAGUAAGUUAUGCACACAAAUAUUCUAAGUAAACAAGUAAGAGAACUAGUAUGAGAUUAACUAAAGAGUAAACUAGAGAUAUAGACAUUGAGUUUAAUUAUUUAAGUUAAAUAUUGUUAUUUAUUUGCUAGUAAACUUACUAAGCUUUAUGCUUACUUCUUUUAUUUCUCUUUCUCUUAUAGUAUUGCAAAGCUACUUCAAGGAUCCUAAAGAAGUCGGAGAUCGUCCACACUAUCAACUACAACUGCUCGGUAUUUUAUAUCGAAACACGUUUAAGUUAUGGCAUGUAUAGGGAUUUAGUUAUUUUGUAUGUUUGUAGUGAUGAUUUUGCUAAUGAGUGAUGUGUAAGUAUUUGAUGAUGUAUGGUUAUUAAAAUGAUUAAGGAUGAAGGUGUUUGUUGUUAUGAAAGAUUAGGUGAUAAAUUAUGCAUGGAAAAAUAAUGGUGUAGAAAAAGGAAAUUUAUAUUUUAAGAUAUGUGAAUUUUAGUAAGAUAGGGUCAGAACUAUUUUUGGAGUCCCCUGUUCUGAGUUUAGAAAAUAAUUAAAAAUUGUACAAAAAUGGUUAUGAGUUGAAAUUUACAUGCUUAGAUUCCUUAAUGAGUCUAUUUUCUAUAGAAACAAGUAAGAACUUCAUAUGAAAAUCCUAUAGUGAGAAAACUUAUUUUUAGUGACUAGAGGUCAGGGCAGUCUGGUGGUGACACAGGGGAGACUUUAACUAAUAAACUGUACUAAUUUGCUGAACCAAAAAUUCUAAAAAUUUUAUGGUGUGUAGAUAUAUGAGUCUAGUUUCAGGGAAAAUUUACGGGAUUAAAUUUCGAGUUCUGUAGCUCAAGUUAUAAUUAAUUUAGUAACUGCUGCGCGAUUAGACAGAUAUGCUGAGAAUAAUGAAAUAAAUUUUCAAACCUAGUUUUUAUGCUCCGAAUUGGUAAGAUAAGCUAAGUAAUGCCUCGUGCUCGACUCCGGAAACGGUCUCGGGUAAGGGGUGUUACAUUUUAUUGGUAUCAGAGCAGGUUUAGUCGGUUCUCGAAAAUACUCAGUAAGAAUAAGGGUCUACCUAUACAUGCCAUACUUAUAUAUUUUGAUAGUGUGACGACUCCUGACGAUUUUAAAAUGUUUUCUUUUAUAGUUAUGGAUCCUGAACGAGCUAGUACAGAUGAAGUAGAGAGUAAUGCACCUAUUCCCGCAGAAGGGACGGUGCCAUCAGAUGUUAUAUCAGUCCCAUAUUUCCUAAGUGUUCUGUUUCGUCUACUGGGCCUCUGCUAACAAAAAAAAUGUUACAAGAUAAAAGAUUAUCUUUGAUUCAAUGAUGAAUGAUUAUAAAGGAAAAAUAAGUUACAAAGCUGUGAAUAAAGAAGUAUGUAUUUGUAAUAAAAUAAUUUAAAGUUGUGAAUAAGUAAAUGUUAUUUAGUUCUGUAUGGAGAUUUAAAAUAGUAAUCCUUAUAGAUAAGGAUGAAAAUAUACAUUUAUACACUUAAAAGAGUAACCUUGAUAAAUGAGAAAUGUUUUACUAAUAGACAAAAAAUGUCUCCAAUUGAUCUAGUUCCGACAGUGAUGAAAGUGAUAUUUGAGUAUUUGAUAGAGAAAGGGGAGUUGCCUAUAUGAGUAAAGAUUUAUAAGGUAUGAAAUGAAUGUUUGUAAUGAAUAUAUUGACGAUAAAAGUCAUGUUAUGUGUAUAUAUAUAAGUAUAUAUAUAAGAGUCAAAUUUUGAGGCUUUACGACCUUCACCCUCUCACCUGAACAAUGGAAUUUACAAGAAUUGUAUUCAUUAAGUUUACAAGUGUGAAAUUGAAGAGUUCAAUAAUUGAAGGAAUAAUAAUGUAGUCAGAAUUGUGGAUGGGAUAGCAAGUAAAGAGAGUUCUAGAAAGGAUAUUAGAUUUUUUUUAAAUGAUUAUUGGGAUUUGCAAUGUCGCUAUUAAGGAAGAAGCUAUUCACGAGUAACCGACUUACUCAGGUAUAAAAUUUAAAGAGCAGGUUAAUCGGAAUUUCUUCUGAAUUGAUUUCUUUAAUGAUUGAGAUAAUGUGAGAUUAUUGAUGACUUUAGUAAUCAGUGGGAUUGUGUUGAAAAUUGCAAACAUAUCUGAAUGCAGUUGUUAUAGUCGAGUAUUUUACAAUGAUCUCUUCUGGGUAUUCUAUAUGGGUAUUCUAUAUGCUCUUUUAUCCUCAGAGGUAUAUGCAAUUAUUUAUUUUCAGAUAUGAUUCUUAUCAUAUAGCAAGGUUGGCUAAUCGUAUUGUUAGACGAAAUUAUUAUUAGUCUGGUUGAUUCAUGAUCGGGAUUCCUCUAUCUUUCUUUGGUUUUCUAAUCUAUUAUGUUCGAUGGAAGAUUUGAUGAUAAGACUCAUAUGAGGCUAUUUUCUAUUUCUACUGGUUGAAGCUCCGAAUUAUAUAUAUGGAAUUUAUAUUGUCUUUAUCACAACUAUUCCUAGUACGUACAAGUGAUAUUCUUCUUUUGGAUUUUCUCUUGGAUAUCAUCGAUCUCUUUAUCAUUCAAUGUGGUUUUUCUUCUCGGAAAUUUAGUAUAGCUUCACAUCUUGGAUUUUAUUAUCUCGGUUUUCUUAUUAUUCUUAUGGUCUAAUCUUAUCUAUUAACCAUGGUUUAUCCGUACAAGAUAUUCAUUGGCCGGAGGUAAUUAUAUUUAUUACUGUUAUAAAUCUUGGUUUGAUCAUGGGAACUCGGUGAUAUGGAUCUCAGAUUUUAGAAGUUGUAUUACUGCACUGGUUGUUAUUGGGACUACUUCGCUUUUCUUCAUCUAUUUUGGAGUGCACUAUUGAUGUUGAGGUAUUGUUCUAUCUAUAUAGUUGGAACGUCGGUCCUAGUAUAGCUCUAUAGUUUUUAAUCUAUUUGAUGGUUGUGGCUUUGGUAUAGUUCAAAGCUUCGAUGUUAAUGAUUGAAAUAGUUUUAUUAUAUAUAUAAUUCCUUUCUAGUUUUCGUGAAAGGGUUGACAUCGGCAAAAGUAUAGAUGGAGGAAGAUUGAGCUCAAACUUGUAUUUUGGUUUUCAUUUCUCAGGUAAUUCUGAAAUUAUGUCAACAAGUCAAUAAUGGAAUGUCAAAAUUCGGUUGAGUUAAAUGCUAUUUGUGGAAAUUUUCGAUUGGUGUUCUGAGAGGAUUAUGAUAUAUGGUAUAUCUGGAUUGUUUUGACAACAAGAAGAAUGGAUUAUUCUGAAAUGUUAUUAUCUGAUAGAUAAAAUCGACUCAGUUGUUUUAAUCAGAGUGGGUUAUUCAUUGAAAAGUUAAUUGAGUUAUAAUCAGUGAUGGAAUUAGUACAUCUUGGGUCUCCACAAUGGGUUUAAAUUAUCUGUUUUCUUAUCGCUGGAUGGGUUUCCAAGAUCUUCGUUCAAAGGUAUUAAAUAAGAUAAUUCGGGUUUCUCAGUUAUGUUUUGACAGACAAUUACUGGACAUUUCUUGGUAGUCAUACUACUAGUGAAAAAGUGAUGGCAAGAGAACAUCAGAGCUGCUCAGUUAAGUUCAGGCAUAGUAUCAAUUUCUAAAAUGAGUUUUGAUAUGAGUUCGGAAGUGAUAUGAGUUAUGAUUAAUUUUUAUGGACUUCGAUUGAAAGGGGUGAAGAAAGAUUUGACUUAAUAGCUUGUAUCAGGUGAGAAAUUUCGAGGACGAAAAUUUUUUUAAGGGGGGAAGAGUUGUAACAGCCCAAUUUUCAAUAGUGUCAGAACAGUGAUUUGAGAUCACUAAAUUCGAUGAAGAAGUUAGAAAUAUUUUUGAAUUAGUGAAUUUUGUGAUUUAAAAGAAAUUAUUAGGUAAAUUGGGUCGAAAACGAGGUAUCGAGACCUCGAUAUUAUAAACUGAGCCGUAAAUAUUUUUAUAAAUAUUUACGGAGUGUCAAUAGGAUAAUAUUAAAGUUUCGUUAAGAAAUUUUAAUGUUUCGAUAGUUACUUAUGAAAAAGGAUUAAAUUGCAAUAGGGAUAAAAGUUUAAUUAUAGAUUAAAGAAAAGUUAAAAGGACCAAAUAGGCAAUUAUGCCUUUUUCUAAAGUUGAGGCGGCAUAAUGAAAGAAAUAUCUGAGAUAUUCUAGUUAAUAUAUAUAUUAUAUAUAUGUAAGUAAUGAUUAUUUUUAAUAUUUUAUAUUAUAUUAUAUUAUAUAUAUAUAUAUAACAAAAGAAAGAAUAGAAAUGAGAAAGAAAGAAACAGAGAGCAAAACGAAACAGAGAAGGGAGAAAGAAGAAAAAGAAAGAGCGACGGUUCAGGGGUUUCAAAACUUCUAAAUUCAAUUGGUAAGUCAAUUUAGUCCCUUUUUCUUAUGGUUUUGAUAUUUUUGGAAUCCUAGAGCAAAAUACUACUUGAUUUAAGUGGAAAUUUUGGAAGUUAGUAGGUUAUUAGAUGUUGUUCAUGUUGAAUUAAUUGAUGAAUUAGAUGUUAAAAUGAUUGAAUUUUAAGUUAAAAGUUAGUAAAAGGUUGAUUUGUAAAAUAAAACAUAAGUUUUGAAUUGAUAGGAAUUAAAUUGAAAGAAUCCCGAAAUUAGGGAUUUAUGGGGAAAUUGAAGAAUUAAAUUGAGUUUAUAGUAAGAAUUAAGAGAGAAUAUAGAGUUAGAAUGCAAAAAUAAAAUUAGUAUUGAUAAGGGAUUAAAUUAGAAUUUGAUGUUGCCAUAGAAGG